AGGACGAACGCUGGCGGCGUGCCUAAUACAUGCAAGUCGAGCGGACAGAAGGGAGCUUGCUCCCGGAUGUUAGCGGCGGACGGGUGAGUAACACGUGGGUAACCUGCCUGUAAGACUGGGAUAACUCCGGGAAACCGGAGCUAAUACCGGAUAGUUCCUUGAACCGCAUGGUUCAAGGAUGAAAGACGGUUUCGGCUGUCACUUACAGAUGGACCCGCGGCGCAUUAGCUAGUUGGUGAGGUAACGGCUCACCAAGGCGACGAUGCGUAGCCGACCUGAGAGGGUGAUCGGCCACACUGGGACUGAGACACGGCCCAGACUCCUACGGGAGGCAGCAGUAGGGAAUCUUCCGCAAUGGACGAAAGUCUGACGGAGCAACGCCGCGUGAGUGAUGAAGGUUUUCGGAUCGUAAAGCUCUGUUGUUAGGGAAGAACAAGUGCAAGAGUAACUGCUUGCACCUUGACGGUACCUAACCAGAAAGCCACGGCUAACUACGUGCCAGCAGCCGCGGUAAUACGUAGGUGGCAAGCGUUGUCCGGAAUUAUUGGGCGUAAAGGGCUCGCAGGCGGUUUCUUAAGUCUGAUGUGAAAGCCCCCGGCUCAACCGGGGAGGGUCAUUGGAAACUGGGAAACUUGAGUGCAGAAGAGGAGAGUGGAAUUCCACGUGUAGCGGUGAAAUGCGUAGAGAUGUGGAGGAACACCAGUGGCGAAGGCGACUCUCUGGUCUGUAACUGACGCUGAGGAGCGAAAGCGUGGGGAGCGAACAGGAUUAGAUACCCUGGUAGUCCACGCCGUAAACGAUGAGUGCUAAGUGUUAGGGGGUUUCCGCCCCUUAGUGCUGCAGCUAACGC
rnacentral:rRNA from 1 species